AGAGCGAACGCUGGCGGCAGGCCUAACACAUGCAAGUCGAACGGACCCUUCGGGGUUAGUGGCGGACGGGUGAGUAACACGUGGGAACGUGCCUUUUGGUUCGGAAUAGCUCCUGGAUACGGGUGGUAAUGCCGAAUGUGCCCUUCGGGGGAAAGAUUUAUCGCCAUUAGAGCGGCCCGCGCCUGAUUAGCUAGUUGGUGAGGUAAUGGCUCACCAAGGCGACGAUCAGUAGCUGGUCUGAGAGGAUGACCAGCCACAUUGGGACUGAGACACGGCCCAAACUCCUACGGGAGGCAGCAGUGGGGAAUCUUGCGCAAUGGGCGAAAGCCUGACGCAGCCAUGCCGCGUGAAUGAUGAAGGUCUUAGGAUUGUAAAAUUCUUUCACCGGGACAUAAUGACGGUACCCGGAGAACGAAGCCCCGGACUAACUUCGUGCCAGCAGCCGC
rnacentral:rRNA from 1 species